CGGGGUGUAGCUCAGCCUGGCUAGAGCGCCUGUUUUGGGGACAGGAGGCCGCCGGUUCGAAUCCGGCCACCCCGA
rnacentral:tRNA from 1 species